UUGAUAGGUACCUUACUACUUGGAUAACCGUGGUAAUUCUAGAGCUAAUACAUGCUAAAAACCCCCACUUCCGAAGGGGUGUAUUUAUUAUAUAAAAAACCAACGCCCUUCGGGGCUCCUUGGUGAUUCAUAAUAACUAAACGAAUCGCAUGGCCUUGCGCCGGCGAUGGUUCAUUCAAAUUUCUGCCCUAUCAACUUUCGAUGGUAGGAUAGUGGCCUACCAUGGUAUCAACGGGUAACGGGGAAUUAGGGUUCUAUUCCGGAGAGGGAGCCUGAGAAACGGCUACCACAUCCAAGGAAGGCAGCAGGCGCGCAAAUUACCCAAUCCCGACACGGGGAGGUAGUGACAAUAAAUACUGAUACAGGGCUCUUUUGGGUCUUGUAAUUGGAAUGAGUACAAUUUAAAUCCCUUACCGAGGAACAAUUGGAGGGCAAGUCUAGUU
rnacentral:rRNA from 1 species